AACUAUGAUAUCACAGCAUUACUAGUGUUGCACUAUAUGUCCCCUUUAAUAAUUUUCUUUUAAUCAAAAGUUUAUCCUGGACUGUUUCCAUUUUCGGUCUGUUCCUUCAACGUUAAAAUGUAGAUGAAAAACAAUGUAUCAAAGAUUCUCAUAUGUGUUUAUAAGAGGGCCUUAGCUGUGUUAAUUUUAAUGAGUCAGCAGUGCAAAAAGGCUGCUGGUUCAUUUUAGCCAUUUCCACAAACAGACGCGCGGUCAUACGCUGGGGGGAGGGGGUGUCGUAAACCCCGCUGAGCCGCACUGCCUUACCCUGGACGGCCCUCGCUGCCCUUCCCUCCUCCCAGCACAGAGAAGUUGGUCCAUUGGGCAUGCAUGCAUGCACACGGCUGCCAGUGGACGCCCAGUGUCUCUGUGCUGCCUGCUACCUUUAACGUAUCGGCUGCCUGCAUUGGGGUCACAGCUGGUGACUGGCAGUCUCUGGUGGUGGCUGUCUGCCCCUGCACUGCCAUGAGUCUCCAGGCAGCCUGGGGUCAUGAGUCCACCUCUUUGGCUACGACCUCAGAUUAGAUAAGAUGAUCUACUGAAUUCAAGCAUAUUAGCUAAGCGGAGGAAAAGAAGCUAAGCAGGAUUUCCUCAUUCACAGCAAGCAAAGAGGGAAAAGCACGGCAUCGAAUAACCAUCUGACAUACCCAUCUGGCGUGCAGAAGACUACUAUGUGUUAUUGUGAAAAUUACUUUAUAAAGAUUUAUGCCUAUGAGAAAAGUAUUUUAACAGGGGGCACUGCGGCAAGAAACAAUUUGGACAAAAAGAAUCAAAACAAGAGUGAAUAGUGAGAGGGGUUUAGCAUUUUAAUAUCAGUUUAAUUAUAUUUACAUUACAUUACAUUUUUCAGACAUUCAGACCAGAUUUUGAUGGCUCCUGUUGUUGAAUGUUGAUAAAAUCCAGUAUUCUCACACAGCCUUUCUCCUCCUCUCCUGUAUCUCACAUUAUUUGAACAUCAAAAUGCAAAGUUUGACCAUGUUAAUAGUUUAACAUAUAGUCCCACUGUGACACUUGAACUUGUACCACAUUUGCAUCCCUGGAUAUCUGACAGAUGAUAUCUGGGUGGAAAAGGUUCAGAGACCUUUUUUUUUUUUUUUAUGUACGUAUAUAUGUGGGAUGCCAGAAUCCCUGCUGUCCAGUCUGUGGACUCAUAUCUUCCCUUCUGGAUGGACUUCUCCUACAGGUGGAUCCUCACAGAAUGUGCCUUCAGUGCCGUUUGCAUUUGUGUUCUUGUUUUUUGCUGUUUGAGAGAACGCCUCAUGCUCUACACAGGAGAAAGCACAAUGAUAGGAUGAGUUUUUGUGUUUGCGUUGUGUGCACAGAUAAAGUUUAACAUGUGAUAAUGAGAGCAAACGUGGUCCUUCUUGGACAAAGCCACUGAGCUGUUUUUACUGGAGGCUUUAAAGUCAGUUUUGCACUGAAAACAUUAAACUUUUCCACAGAAAUGCGUUUGGUCAAACGUCCUCUGACAAUGUAAAGAACAUUUUAAAGAUGUUUUGAUUUAGCCGAGAAGGUUGUUCGUUGUGGAUCACAGAGCUGAAUUUGCUAAUUGGAUGAAACAGUGACUUUGUCCAAAGUGUGCAGUUGCAGUUCAAGCCGCAGUCGUUUGCAGCUUCAGUUAAACGCCCAAAAUGUUAGGAAAAGUAUUUUUCAGUCGAGGUCCACUUGGUUGAGGACAUGUUACUGAAAGAAACACAGUGGUGUAUCAGUUGCUGUUUGUUGUGAUGCGUUUGUUUGUCUGGAUGUCGUUUGUGUUCUUGGACAUGAACUGUGCUGGUUGUGGUGCAGAUGUGGACCCGUCAUGAGUAGAUGAAGUGAAUUGUUGUGCUGAGAGAACAGAGUUCAUGACUGAAAGAGGUUAAUGUGAAAGCUGAGAGACUGAGAGUCACUGGCUUGCCUGAGAAAGAAAACUGAUUUAUUAUCAUCACAUUCCCCAGAAA